AUUGAACGCUAGCGGCAUGCCUAACACAUGCAAGUCGUACGGUAACAGAUUUUCUUCGGAAAACGCUGACGAGUGGCGAACGGGUGAGUAAUGCGUGGGAAUCUACCUAAAAGAAGGGAAUAGUUAAUGGAAACAUUAAGUAAUACCCUAUAAUUCUUACGAGACAAAGUAGGGGACUUUAGUAAUAAAGCCUUGCGCUUUUAGAUGAGCCCACGUCAGAUUAGCUAGUUGGUAAGGUAAAUGCUUACCAAGGCAAUGAUCUGUAGCUGAUUUUAGAAGAUGAUCAGCCACACUGGGAUUGAGAUACGGCCCAGACUCCUACGGGAGGCAGCAGUGGGGAAUCUUGGACAAUGGGCGCAAGCCUGAUCCAGCAAUGCCGCGUGUGUGAAGAAGGCCUUAGGGUUGUAAAACACUUUCAGCAAUGAAGAAGCAUUUCAACAGUAAUACAGUUGUUGUGUUGACGUUAAUUGUAGAAGAAGUACUGGCUAACUCUGUG
rnacentral:rRNA from 1 species